rnacentral:rRNA from 1 species
UGAAUACGAGAUGCUACGGCGUCGAAGCAGUCUAUGUCAUACUUCCAAGAAAAGCUUGCACUGUCAUAAACAAAUAAUGCCUGUACCAUAACCGACACAGGUGGGUAGGUAGAGUAUACUAAGGGGCGCGAGAUAACUCUCUCUAAGGAACUCGGCAAAAUGACUCCGUAACUUCGGGAGAAGGAGUGCCUUAUUUAUAAGGUUGCAAUAACAAGAUCCAAGCAACUGUUUACCAAAAACACAGGUCUCCGCUAAGUCGUAAGACGAUGUAUGGGGGCUGACGCCUGCCCAGUGCCAGAAGGUUAAAGAAGUUGGUUAGCAUCCGCGAAGCUGAUAACUGAAGCCCUGGUGAACGGCGGCCGUAUCGAUAACGGUCCUAAGGUAGCGAAAUUCCUUGUCGGGUAAGUUCCGACCCGCACGAAAGGCGUAAUGAUUUGGAUACUGUCUCGGAGAGGGGCUCGGUGAAAUAGACUUGUCUGUGAAGAUGCGGACUACCUGCACCAGGACAGAAAGACCCUAUGAAGCUUUACUGUAACCUGAAAUUGAAAUUGGACUUUACUUGCGCAGUAUAGGUGGGAGGCGUUGAGAAUAUUCUUGCGGGAUUAUUGGAGCCAUCAGUGAGAUACCACUCUUGUAAUGUUAGAUUUCUAACUUUGUAUCAUUAUCUGGUCAAAGAACAGUUACAGGCGGGCAGUUUGACUGGGGCGGUCGCCUCCUAAACGGUAACGGAGGCGCACAAAGGUUUCCUCUGAACGGGUAGAAAUCGUAUCUAGAGUGUAAAGGCAUAAGGAAGCUUGACUGUGAGACCUACAAGUCGAGCAGGGACGAAAGUCGGUCUUAGUGAUCUGACGGUGCUGAGUGGAAAGGCCGUCACUCAACGGAUAAAAGUUACUCUAGGAUAACAGGCUGAUCUCCCCCAAGAGUUCACAUCGACGGGGAGGUUUGGCACCUCGAUGUCGGCUCAUCGCAUCCUGGGGCGGUAGUACGUCCCAAGGGUUGGGCUGUUCGCCCAUGAAAGCGGUACGCGAGCUGGGUUCAGAACGUCGUGAGACAGUUCGGUCCAUAUCCGGUGUAGGCGUUAGAAUAUUGAGAGGAGCCUUCUUUAGUACGAGAGGACCGAGAAGGACAUACCUCUGGUGUACCAGUUAUCGUGCCAACGGUAAACGCUGGGUAGCUAUGUGUGGAGUGGAUAACCGCUGAAAGCAUCUAAGUGGGAAGCCCACCUCAAGAUAAGUAUUCUCA